GACGAACGCUGGCGGCGUGCUUAACACAUGCAAGUCGAACGAUGAAGCCUAGCUUGCUAGGUGGAUUAGUGGCGAACGGGUGAGUAAUACGUGAGUAACCUACCUUUAACUCUGGGAUAAGCCUGGGAAACUGGGUCUAAUACCGGAUACGACCAAUCUCCGCAUGGGGUGUUGGUGGAAAGCGUUAUGUAGUGGUUAUAGAUGGGCUCACGGCCUAUCAGCUUGUUGGUGAGGUAACGGCUCACCAAGGCGACGACGGGUAGCCGGCCUGAGAGGGUGACCGGCCACACUGGGACUGAGACACGGCCCAGACUCCUACGGGAGGCAGCAGUGGGGAAUAUUGCACAAUGGGCGCAAGCCUGAUGCAGCGACGCCGCGUGAGGGAUGACGGCCUUCGGGUUGUAAACCUCUGUUAGCAGGGAAGAAGAGAGAUUGACGGUACCUGCAGAGAAAGCGCCGGCUAACUACGUGCCAGCAGCCGCGGUAAUACGUAGGGCGCGAGCGUUGUCCGGAAUUAUUGGGCGUAAAGAGCUUGUAGGCGGUUUGUCGCGUCUGCUGUGAAGGCCGGGGCUUAACCCCGUGUAUUGCAGUGGGUACGGGCAGACUAGAGUGCAGUAGGGGAGACUGGAACUCCUGGUGUAGCGGUGGAAUGCGCAGAUAUCAGGAAGAACACCGAUGGCGAAGGCAGGUCUCUGGGCUGUAACUGACGCUGAGAAGCGAAAGCAUGGGGAGCGAACAGGAUUAGAUACCCUGGUAGUCCAUGCCGUAAACGUUGGGCACUAGGUGUGGGGGACAUUCCACGUUUUCCGCGCCGUAGCUAACGCAUUAAGUGCCCCGCCUGGGGAGUACGGCCGCAAGGCUAAAACUCAAAGAAAUUGACGGGGGCCCGCACAAGCGGCGGAGCAUGCGGAUUAAUUCGAUGCAACGCGAAGAACCUUACCAAGGCUUGACAUAUACUGGACCGCAUCAGAGAUGGUGUUUCCCUUCGGGGCUGGUAUACAGGUGGUGCAUGGUUGUCGUCAGCUCGUGUCGUGAGAUGUUGGGUUAAGUCCCGCAACGAGCGCAACCCUCGUUCUAUGUUGCCAGCACGUUAUGGUGGGGACUCAUAGGAGACUGCCGGGGUCAACUCGGAGGAAGGUGGGGAUGACGUCAAAUCAUCAUGCCCCUUAUGUCUUGGGCUUCACGCAUGCUACAAUGGCCGGUACAGAGGGUUGCGAUACUGUGAGGUGGAGCUAAUCCCUAAAAGCCGGUCUCAGUUCGGAUUGGGGUCUGCAACUCGACCCCAUGAAGUCGGAGUCGCUAGUAAUCGCAGAUCAGCAACGCUGCGGUGAAUACGUUCCCGGGCCU
rnacentral:rRNA from 1 species